rnacentral:rRNA from 1 species
UACGUAGGUGGCAAGCGUUGUCCGGAAUUACUGGGUGUAAAGGGUGCGCAGGCGGGACUGCAAGUUGGAUGUGAAAUACCGGGGCUUAACUCCGGGGCUGCAUCCAAAACUGUAGUUCUUGAGUGGAGUAGAGGUAAGCGGAAUUCCGAGUGUAGCGGUGAAAUGCGUAGAUAUUCGGAGGAACACCAGUGGCGAAGGCGGCUUACUGGGCCCUAACUGACGCUGAGGCACGAAAGCAUGGGUAGCAAAC